UGAUCACACGGGAUUCUGCCAACUACCUC
rnacentral:piRNA from 1 species